rnacentral:rRNA from 1 species
UACGAAGGGGGCUAGCGUUGUUCGGAAUCACUGGGCGUAAAGCGCUCGUAGGCGGAUCUUUAAGUCAGAGGUGAAAUCCCAAGGCUCAACCUUGGAACUGCCUUUGAUACUGGGGAUCUCGAGUCCGGGAGAGGUGAGUGGAAUUCCCGGUGUAGCGGUGAAAUGCGCAGAUAUCGGGAGGAACACCAAUGGCGAAGGCAGCUCGCUGGGACGGUACUGACGCUGAGACGCGAAAGCGUGGGGAGCAAACAGGG